UGGCGGACGGGUGAGUAACGCGUGGAAAACCUGCCGUAUACCGGGGGAUAACACUUAGAAAUAGGUGCUAAUACCGCAUAAGCGCACAGCUUCGCAUGAAGCGGUGUGAAAAACUCUGGUGGUAUACGAUGGUUCCGCGUCUGAUUAGCUAGUUGGUGGGGUAAUGGCCCACCAAGGCAACGAUCAGUAGCCGGCCUGAGAGGGUGAACGGCCACAUUGGGACUGAGACACGGCCCAAACUCCUACGGAAGGCAGCAG
rnacentral:rRNA from 1 species